rnacentral:lncRNA from 1 species
GGAGAAACAGCAAGGAAGAGUCACAGCUGAAGGACUGGGGUGAAUGUACAACUUUGAAUAGGAUCAGGGAGGACCCCUAAAACAGAGGUGAGGAAGCCAGCUAUGUUUCUCUCCCAGGAACAGGGAAUAAGGGCAAGGGCUCUGAGGUCAAAGCUUGCAAUGAAUAGCAAGGAGGAUAGCAUGAACAUAGAGGGAAGCAGAACAGGACAUGAGAGUCCCCAGUUAGUAGUAUCUUGUUAUGGCAGUUCUAGGACCAAUCACAGGGCCAUGGGCCCCGCCACACCGCCAAUUAAAUUGACACAAUUUGCCUUAAUCAGUGAUUUUUGGUGUCUCCGUUUAGUGAGAACAAGUAGAAAAUGGAACAUGAAGACCAUAUCCUUCCCCUAUCUAUACCAUGUUAAAGGGAGAACUGGAAUAUUCAGUUCUCAUGUGAAUGUUAUAGAACCUCUAUGGUUCUAUCUCAUGUAAAUGUGAAUGUAAUAGAACCUCUAUGGUAGGGAAUUAUAUACAGACAAAAAAUUCAGAACAGUCAGUUUCAGUGUAGUUAAAUGUGUUUCCCAUCUGAGUCCACCCUGUUAAAGCAGAUGUUCCUGGGUUGUACCUUGGCAGCUUCCCACCUGGAUCCUUGCUUUUACUUCUUGGCUCUCACAACUGACUCAUUUAUCUUCAAGCACCUUCACACUUGGGUGAAAAGGCUGUAAAUGCACUGUCUGCUUUUGCAUCCCAGUGGUGACAGAGAAUGAGUGAGUGAGUGAAUGUGUGUGUGUGUGUGUGUGUGUGUGUGUGUGUGAGAGAGAGAGAGAGAGAGAGAGAGAGAGAGAGAGAGAGAGAGAGAGAAUAUGAUGAAUAAUAUGAAUAUGAAAAUAUGAAUGAACCAAAAGAAUAGGGAAAAGGGCUCAGGGGCUCCAUGGGAAAUUCAUCCCUCAUCCUGUUCCAUGGCACACAGGAAAACCCUUGGGCUUUUUUCAAAAUUUCACCUCAAAGACAGAUUGGAGUCCCUCCUAUACUCUGCAAAGAUCUGAGGUAUGGGUGUGUGUGUGUGACAUUUAUACAGAGUGGCUUGGGGGAGGAGUGUAAAAAUGAAAGCAAAACUUAAAUCUUGCUUAAGAAACCCUUCUAGCUGCUGUAAUCCCAGUGACUAGGGAGGCUGAAGCAGGAGGCUGGCAAGUUAGAGGACAGCUUGAGCAACUUAGUGAGAGUAAAAGAGUAAAGAGUAAAAGGGACUGGGGAUGUAGAUCAGUGGUAAAGCACCACUGAGUUCAAUCCCCAGUACCAAAAAGAAAAAGAAACCUUUGUAAAUGUCACACAAUCUUAUGUGUCUGUGUGUGUGUAUUGGGGGCAGUGGGGUGAGGUACUGAAGAUACUGGAGUUCUUUACCACUGAGCCUCACCCCCAGCCCUUUUUAUUUUUAUUUUGAGACAGUGUCUCACUAAGUGGCCCAGGCUGGCCUGGAACUUGCUUCAGCCUCCUGAGUCACUGGGAUUAUAGGUGUGCACCAUGAUGGCGCCGAGCUGUGUGGUAUUUAAAAUGCCCAACAUACUUUUCCCCUUCCCUUCCCUUUUACUUUAAUCUACCUUAAGUUAAUCAUGUACAGUUCCUAGUCACUCUUCAAACUGUUCAUUUAGAUUGUUCCCCGAGCAGUCAUUAUGUGCUUUUGAGGUACCAGGUACUAUUAUAAGUGCUGACAUAUACUGUUUCAUUUAAUGCCCCAAUAACCUUAUCAGUUGGGAUUAAUUAUUAUUCACCCUAUUUACAACUAGGGAAAGGAAAAGGCCAAGAAACUUC